GGGGAUAUGGCGAAAUUGGUAAACCCUACGGACUUAAAAUCCGUCAACUUUAGAAAUCGUGAG
rnacentral:tRNA from 1 species